rnacentral:pre_miRNA from 1 species
UUCCUACUCCCUCCGUUCGGAAUUACUUGUCUCGAAAAUGGAUGUAUCUAGAACUAAAAUACGUCUAGAUACAUCCAUUUCUGCGACAAGUAAUUCCGAACGGAGGGAGUACGAU